UACAUGGGGUGCAAAGGUUGCUCGGAAUUAUUGGGCGUAAAGCGCGCGUAGGCGGUUACUUAAGUCGGAUGUGAAAGCCCUCGGCUUAACUGAGGAAGUGCACCCGAAACUGAGUAGCUGGAGUACGAAAGAGGGUCGCGGAAUUCCCGGUGUAGAGGUGAAAUUCGUAGAUAUCGGGAGGAACACCGGUGGCGAAGGCGGCGACCUGGGUCGAGACUGACGCUGAGGCGCGAAAGCGUGGGGAGCAAACAGG
rnacentral:rRNA from 1 species